GAUGAACGCUGGCGGCGUGCCUAAUACAUGCAAGUCGAGCGAAUGGAUUGAGAGCUUGCUCUUAUGAAGUUAGCGGCGGACGGGUGAGUAACACGUGGGUAACCUGCCCAUAAGACUGGGAUAACUCCGGGAAACCGGGGCUAAUACCGGAUAACAUUUUGAACCGCAUGGUUCGAAAUUGAAAGGCGGCUUCGGCUGUCACUUAUGGAUGGACCCGCGUCGCAUUAGCUAGUUGGUGAGGUAACGGCUCACCAAGGCAACGAUGCGUAGCCGACCUGAGAGGGUGAUCGGCCACACUGGGACUGAGACACGGCCCAGACUCCUACGGGAGGCAGCAGUAGGGAAUCUUCCGCAAGGGACGAAAGUCUGACGGAGCAACGCCGCGUGAGUGAUGAAGGCUUUCGGGUCGUAAAACUCUGUUGUUAGGGAAGAACAAGUGCUAGUUGAAUAAGCUGGCACCUUGACGGUACCUAACCAGAGAGCCACGGCUAACUACGUGCCAGCCGCCGCCGUAA
rnacentral:rRNA from 1 species